UCCGGUAAUGUUGCGAUUGUGAGGAUUCGUUCGACUACUCCCGUUCGUCUUCUUCAUGGACUCGUUCUUCUUUCUUGCGGGAUUUCAGGCAAGAUGACCGCUACCCUGGAUCUCACUACUAUCAUUGCCAUGCUAGUUGCUUCGUUCUAUCGCUUUGCUGCGCUACCUAUCAUCUGUUUGUUGAGCCAUCCCAUGUUGCCAUGAACCUCUAACCUUUGACACCUUUCCUAUGCAAACCGUUGUUUGGCUAUGUUACCGCUUUGCUCAGCCCCUCUUAUAGCGUUGCUAGUUGCAGGUGAAGUUGAAGAUUUCUUCAUGGUGGACAGGAUUUUGGUUGGGAUAUCACAAUAUCUCUUAUAUUAUUAAUGCAUUUAUAUACUUGGUAAACGGUGGAAGGCUCGGCCUUUUGCCUAGUGUUUUGUUCCACUCUUGCCGCCCUAGUUUCCGUCAUACCGGUGGUAUGUUCCCGGAUUUUGCGUUCCUUACGCGGUCGGGUGAUUUAUGGGACCCCCUUGACAGUUCGCUUUGAAUAAAACUCCUCCAGCAAGGCCCAACAUUGACUUUUACCAUUUGCCUCACCACCACCUACUUUUCCCUUGGGAGUAAUUAACCCAAGGGUCAUCUUCAUUAUAGCCCCCCGGGCCAGUGCUUGUCUAAGUGUUGGUCCAAACUAGAGCACCGUGCGGGACCAUUUCCUUGGCAACUUGGAUUCGUCGGUUCCUGUACGCUUUGCUUAUCCGGUGUUGCCCUGAGAACGAGAUAUGUGCAGCUCCUAUCGGGAUUGUCGGCGCAUCGGGCGGCUUUGCUGGUCUUGUUUUACCAUUGUCGAAAUGUCUUGUAAACCGGGAUUCCAAGUCUGGUCGGGUCUUCCUGGGAGAAGGUCUAUUCCUUCGUUGAUCGCGAGAGCUUGUCAUGGGCUAAGUUGGGAUACCCCUGCAGGGUAUAAUCUUUCGAAAGCCGUGCCUGCAGUUAUAGGCAGAUGGGAAUUUGUUAAUGUCCGGUUGUAGAUAACUUGACACCAGAUCCGAAUUAAAACACAUCAACCGCGUGUGUAGCCGUGAUGGUCUCUUUUCGGCGGAGUCCGGGAAGUGAACACGGUUUCCGGGUUAUGCUUGACGUAGGUAGGAGUUCAGGAUCACUUCUUGAUCAUUGCUAGCUUCACGACCGUUCCGCUUGUUCUCUUCUCGCUCUUAUUUGCGUAUGUUAGCCACUAUAUAUGCUUAGCCGCUGCUACAGCCUCACCACUUUACCCCUUCCUUUCCCUUUAAGCUUUGCUAGUCUUGAUACCCAUGGUAAUGGGAUUGCUGAGUCCUCGUGGCUCACAGAUUACUACAACAACAGUUGCAUGUACAGGUUGUGCGAUGAUCAUGACGUGAGAGCGAUGCUUGCUUGCGUUGAGUUCUUCUUCUGCUGCUUCGAUCAGGGGAUAGGUUCCAGGUCGGCAGCCUGGGCUAGCAGGGUGGAUGUCUUUUGAGUUUCUGUUUGUGAUUCAUCCGUAGUCGGAUGAUGCUCUUAUGUAUUGUGAUGUUGUAUUCAUGUGGCAUGGUAUGCCUUAUGUAUGUAUCCCCAUGUAUUAUGUAAUGUUGAUGUAAUGAUAUCC
rnacentral:lncRNA from 1 species